rnacentral:rRNA from 1 species
UAUAAGGUGAUAUAUUGAAAAAAGGUAUAUGAAAAUAAUAUUAUUUUAAGGAUCUAAAACUAAUACUUUAAAUGAUAAAAAGGGAUAAACCCAAUCAAAUCAUGAAAAUGAAGGAUAAAAAUCAAGUGGAAUGAAACAUCUAAGUAGCUUGAAAGUAACCAACAGGGGCAGUAUAUGUAGCGGUGAGUGAAAGUACUGUAGUCUUUAAGUAUCAUCAAGAGGUGAGAAUAAAGUAGAUUCUACUACUAAGACAAUAAAAGAGUAUUAAGAAAAAAGUACCGAAAGGGAAAAAGAGUAAAUAGAAUAAUAGAGAGCAGUCAUAGUAUGGCGUACCUCUUGUAUAAUGGGCCAGUGAGUUAUAUAUAUUAGCGUAGUUAUUUAUAAAUAAAUUGAGUAAAUCAAUCUUAAGUUAAUGUAUAUAGGCCCGAAAGCAGACGAUUUACACAUCUCCAAGACCCGAUUCAGCAAAUGCAGAAUCGGGGUCUGAAUAGGUGGAUGUAGCAAUAUUCUCUAAAGAGGGGUGUGUAGAAGUGACAGACAAAUCUGGUUUGCCGAUAGCUGGUUUUCUGCGAAAUAUAUAUAAGUAUAGCCUUUACGAAGGAAACACAUAAAUGUGUUUCCUAUGUAUUAACUGGUACAGCACUUAGAUCAUUUUGGGGGAUUAUAAUAUAAUUUUAUCAAAAGAUCUAAACCUCGGAACAGUAAACCAUAAAGUAAGGAGUCAGACUUAUUGCGAUAAGGUAGUAGGUCGAAAAGGAAACAACCUAGACUAUUAAAUGUAUGUCCCAAAAAUAUAUGCCUCGGGUAAGCCGAGGUGUACAUCCUCCUUUAGGAGGAUAUAUUAAGUGAACAAAAUCUAUUUUUUAUAGAUAGACAAUCAGUCAGCGGGUUUGACAAUAAUCAACUGUUAAGGGACAUGUAACAAUGUACUGAUGUGACAUAAAAAAUAGAGAAAAUAUACGGGUCUAAAUAUAUUACAGAAUAAUAGAUAAGAAGAAAUAAUUUCUUCUGAUGGUAGCAGAAUAUAUGAUAUAUAAUCAUAAAGAGAUUGCUGGCUUGAGUAACGAUAGGUAGUAUAAGACUACCCUCCAAUUCAUAAGGUUUUACUAUAAACUAACGGUCCCUAAGAUAAUAACAGAAAUGUUAAAUUGAUGGGAGAUAGAACAUGAAAAGAUAUUGAACCGUACUGUAGACCGACACAGGUAUGAUAAUAGGAGAAUGAGACAACUACUGUGAAUGAACUCGGCAAAUUAGCAUAAAGCUUUUAGUCGUGCGACUGUUUACCAAAAACAUAGCUUACUGCGUACUAGUAAUAGUAAGUAUAGUAAGUGAUAUCUGCCCGGUGUAUGCCUAAUAUAAUAAUUAUAUGAAAGUAUAAUUUUUGAAAAGGUGUGUUAACGGCGGUCUUAUUGUGAGGAUCCGAAGGUAGCGAAAUUCAUUGACGCAUAAUUGGUGUCCUGCAUGAAUGAAUACACGAUGCGACAACUGUAUCCAUAGUAGACUCAGUGAAAUAGCAUUCGCGGUGAAGAUGCCGUGUACCCGUAGAUUGACAAAAAGACCCUAUGCAGCUUUACUAUAUCUUUAUAUUGAAUACGACAACUAUUUAUUUCAGUAGAUUAGGUUUUUAGUAAUAAAAGAAAUGAGAUACCUAUAUAUUUAGUAAUAGAUUCUAAUCUAAUUUUAUAAUAUAAUUUAUAUUAUAUACUCUUAUUUACACGUAUAACGUGUAAGACCUCUCUUUAAGAGAGGUAAGAGAAAGAGACAGUGUAAAGAGGUUAGUUUCGAUGGGGCGUCGACAUCAGCGAAAGCAUCUGAUGUGUCUAAAAAUUAAAUAUUUUAUUAAUUUAAUGCGUCAUUAGGCGCGGACAUUAUAUAAUAGCAAGAAAACGUACAAAAGUUCUAUAUAGCAAAUAGAAUAGUUUUAUGCCCGCCGGGCAUAUUACCAUAUGCAAGGAUAACAACAUAAUUGUGCGAUGAUAAUAACACUAACAAGUGGAAUUAGUACUUAAGUAGAGUGUAGUGAACAGGCAUAAACAUAAGAUAUGGAUGUCGAUAACGGAUUAAAGUUACGCUAGGGAUAAAUGUUUGUCCCACUUAUUUAUAUAUAUAUAUAUAUUAAGUUAAAAAUUAGGUGAAUUGCAUAGAUCUCUUCAUACUUAUAUUUAUGCCCGCCAUCGGCGGGUAUAAAAUUUCCUCCCCGCUUCGCGGGGCUUAUAUAAGUUUAAGACAAUAUGCAGCGAAGCUAUUACUAGUAAGUAUAUUUAUAUAUAAGGUAAUAGAACGUUCAACGACUAGAAGAUGAGUAUACUAACAAUAAUUCUUCCACGAGCGCCUAACAUAUAAGAAUGUAUUUUAUAUUUAAAAGGAGAAGUAAUGUUUAAAAAAGAUUUAUUAGGAUGUUCACCAAAUAGAAAAAUAUUAAAAGAAUAUAAAGCACAAUUUACUAAAUUAACUAAACUACAAAAAGAUGUAGCUAUAGGUUUAAUUUUAGGUGAUGCGUAUCUUUAUACUAGAAAUAAUAGUAAAUCUCAUGCAAUGAAAUUUGAAUGAGGUUAUAAAUCUAAAGAAUACAUUGAUCAUGUUUAUUCAAUAUAUGAAGAUUGAAUAUUAAAACCUCCAUAUUUAAUAACAAGAAUUAAUAAAAAUAAUAAUGAAGUUAAAACUUGACGUAUGGAAACAUUGACAGGUAUUCCUUUUAAUAUUUUAGGUGAAUUAUUUAUUAUAAAUAAAAAGAAACAUAUAAAAAUUAAUCUUAUUAAAGAUCAUCUUACAGCUAUAGGUUUAGCUCAUUGAGAUAUGGAUGAUGGAAAUAGAUGUUAUUAUAAAGGACCUAUAUUUAAUAAAGAUAUGAGUGUAGUAAUUAAUACACAAGGUUUUGAAAUAGAAGAAGUUAAAAUUUUAAUAAAAGAAUUAAAUGAAAAGUUUAAUUUAAAUAGUUAUUUAUCUUUUAAUAAAAAGAAACCUAUAAUUUAUAUUCCAAAUAAAGAUUAUGAUAAAUUUUAUAAUAUUAUAAAUCCAUUUAUGCCUCACUUUUGGUGAGGUAUCCCCACGCUACGCGUGGGGCUUAUAGAUUCAAUGAGAUAUAAAUUACCUUUUAAAAAAUAAAAUAUAUAUUCAAGUAUGAUGACAUAGUCUGAACUAUAUAGAAAUAUAUAGAAACAUUAAUUAAAAAAGAUGUGAUAACAUUAUUGAACAGAGUAAUACCGCGUGAGAGUUGAUAUCGUCAGCGGUGUUUGCUACCUCGAUUAAAUAAAUGAUAGUUGAGGUUAAAUAGGGUUAAUUGCAAGGAACUCUAAGGAUAUUUUAUCUAUGACAACUUGCAGCGAAGUAUUAUCUAUAUACAUAUAAAUAUAUGAAGGAUAAUAAACGUUCAACGACUAGUAGGUGAGUAAUAUAACAAUAAACCUACCACGAAAGCCCUAAAGUUAUAUAAUGUUAAAAACAUUUUCCUCCCGGCUGCGCCGGAAUUAAAAUAUUUUAACUACAAAAUUAUAACUUAAGACAUAGUCUGAACUAUAGUGAAAAUUAUAGAAGUUAAUAUAAAGAGAUUAACGAUAACAAUAUUGGUCGUCUAGACUCGUCCUCCUGGUCGCAGCAACUAGGUAGGGUAGGACUGUUCGUCCUCUAAGGAGUUACUUGAGAUGGGUUAAUUACGACGUGAGUCAGUAAUGAUUUUAUCAUCUAUGGGUUUUUUUCUUAUUCGUUGCCUCGAGUGUACGAAAGGAUAACGAGGUGUUUUCCUAUGGUUUUUUGUAUAUAUAUAUAUAUAAAUAUAUAUAUACAUAUUAGCUAAGAAAAUUGUGGAUACAUAUUGAAUGCAUCUCAAAUAUUAAACCCUACGAAUAAGUUUAAUCAUACUAUAUUAGUAUGUAAUAGUUUUAUUAUAUUUAU